GACGAACGCUGGCGGCGUGCUUAACACAUGCAAGUCGAACGGAAAGGCCCUGCUUUUGUGGGGUGCUCGAGUGGCGAACGGGUGAGUAACACGUGAGUAACCUGCCCUUGCCUUUGGGAUAACUUCAGGAAACUGGGGCUAAUACCGGCUAGGAGCUCCUGCUGCAUGGUGGGGGUUGGAACGUUUCGGCGGUUGGGGAUGGACUCGCGGCUUAUCAGCUUGUUGGUGGGGUAGUGGCUUACCAAGGCUUUGACGGGUAGCCGGCCUGAGAGGGUGACCGGCCACAUUGGGACUGAGGUACGGCCCAGACUCCUACGGGAGGCAGCAGUGGGGAAUAUUGCACAAUGGGCGGAAGCCUGAUGCAGCAACGCCGCGUGCGUAAUGACGGCCUUCGGGUUGUAAACCGCUUUCGCCUGUGACGAAGCGUGAGUGACGGUAAUGGGUAAAGAAGCACCGGCUAACUACGUG
rnacentral:rRNA from 1 species